UCGCGACACGGUAACUUUUGAGAAAGAACCCAUGCCUUCGAUCCCGCCAGCAGCAAAGAAAGCGACGAAAAGCAAAGCUUCUCCUCCAAAAACAAUUUCUCUUCCCACAAUGCUUCUUCCAAGUACGAUUUCGUUAAGGUGAAGGUGCGGUUGGGUAAUAAUGUGGAUCACUACUAUGUGGAUAGGACUGAGAUUGGAUUGUGUUGAAAAGUGUUGUGCUUGCCCUUAUAGACUGGAUUUAAUGCUGCAAUGUGGAUUCAAUUUGGUUAGUAUCAUUUGUGAUUAGUUUGUUGGUUGCAGAUUCCGAAUCAUGUAGCUAUUAAAAUUGCUCUUGAACUGAAGAAGCUGCUCAUUGACAAUAGCCUUCUAGAAGUGUAUGAAUUAUUCGGUAACUAUUUCAGUGGCUCAAUUCUAGAGUGGAUAGGCCAAACGAAAAACUUGCGGUUUCUUGAUUUCUCUCAAAACUUGUUCUAUGAAACCAUUCCCAUCCGAGAAAAGUUGAAAGACAAGCUAGAAGAGUUUUUCAACUGUCAAUACAAGAACUUUGUUGAAUUCACUGCUUUAAUCAGCUGGAGGAGAGGUGCAAACAUUGGGGGGGCAUAGUGAUGAUAACAGACCCUAUCUCAAAUAGCAGCACUUUGCAGUCAGAAUUUCAUUUUCCACUACUCUCAUUUAUUGAAUUUUAUUUAAUACUGUUGCUGACAACUUUUGUUCAUCAAGGUAGUGUACUAUUUAAAUAAGUAUGGCAAGGAUUUCAAUGGUGGACUCUUCCGUUUCCAGGAUGGCCAGCCAAUGUCAAUUAUGCCAAUGGCUGAAGUAAUAAAUAUUUAGAAAUGAAUUUAGAUAAACGUUUAGAUAAAUGUUUAGAAAUAUUUAGAAAAUGUUUCGCUUUUUAAGAAUGGUGGUGUUUGGUUCACAACUGAAGAUUUAGAUUCCUCCCUUACCACCAGAAGGUGAGAGGGUGUUCAAAGGGUGUGUAUCUGCUAGCGAGUUGGAACUGAUGGAACUCUUUAAGGACUACACAUGCAUGAUUUGCCAUUGUCCUAACCCAAGGAACACUCACAUAUUUGGUAACUGCAUCAUUCAGAGUACCCCUUCUGUCUCACCCAAACUAGAUGCUUCUACUCGGUAUCCUUCUCACUCCUUUCUCCCCUUCUGUCUCACCCAAGCUAGAUGCUUCUACUCGGUAUCCUUCUCACUCCUUUCUCAUUGUCUGCUUUCUCUGCAACAAGAAUCUUGGGCAUGGUAAAGACAUCUACAUGUACAGGUAUGUCUAAUGCUGAUUACAACUACUGCUUUAAUUUAGUGUGCCAAGUGAUUUAGUUAUUCAAUCAAUGUUCAGGGGUGAGAGAGCAUUUUGCAACAAUGAAUGCCGUUACCAGGGGAUGCUGAUGGAGGAAGAGAUCAACAAAUUGGAAGCUGAAGAGGCUGUUUAUGGGACUUAGUUCCUCCCACCAAGUCUCAAGUCUCAACCAUUAAUAAUAAUCAACUUCCUCUUCCAUUUUCAGUUUUAAUUUCUAGGUAGAAACUAUAUAUAUAGAAAUUGUAUCUAUAGAAAAUAGAGUUGGGGGUUUGAAUUAAAAGGUUAAGUUAGAGGUGAUUUUUGUUGAAAUCAUGAAUUAGGG